UACGUAGGUGGCAAGCGUUAUCCGGAUUUAUUGGGUUUAAAGGGAGCGUAGGCGGCUUAAUAAGUCAGUGGUGAAAGGUAGCAGCUUAACUGUUUUACAUGCCAUUGAUACUGUUGAGCUUGAGUUGUUAGAAGGCAGAUAGAAUUCCUGAUGUAGCGGUGAAAUGCUUAGAUAUCAGGAGGAAUACCGAUUGCGAAGGCAGUCUGCUGCAUACAUACUGACGCUGAGGCUCGAAAGUGCGGGGAUCAAACAGG
rnacentral:rRNA from 1 species